rnacentral:tRNA from 1 species
GCCCUUGUAGCUCAGUGGAUAGAGCAACCGCCUUCUAAGCGGUAGGUCGUGGGUUCAAUUCCCGCCAAGGGCGCCA